rnacentral:misc_RNA from 1 species
GAUGAAGAACGUAGCGAAAUGCGAUAAGUAAUGUGAAUUGCAGAAUUCAGUGAAUCAUCGAAUCUUUGAACGCACAUUGCGCCCGCCAGUAUUCUGGCGGGCAUGCCUGUUCGAGCGUCAUUUCAACCAUCAAGCCCCAGGCUUGUGUUGGGGACCUGCGGCUGCCGCAGGCCCUGAAAAACAGUGGCGGGCUCGCUAGUCACACCGAGCGUAGUAGCAUACAUCUCGCUCUGGGCGUGCUGCGGGUUCCGGCCGUUAAACCACCUUCAUAACCCAAGGUUGACCUCGGAUCAGGUAGGAAGACCCGCUGAACUUAAGCAUAUCAAUAAGCGGAGGA